GAGGAAGUUCCACCAUUUCUUCUGUCCAUCAUAUCAGGCAACAAUCAAACUCCAGCUUCUUUCUGCCUGAUUUCUAACCACAGCCAGAGCAGCAGUUCUGAGGGAAACGGAGGCAGCGACCCGCCCUGGGGGCACGGAUACACUCAUGGCCUUGUUGUCUUCAGAAGUGGUGAGAGCAUCAAAACCUGAGCAAAAUGUAAUCGAUUCUGUGAAAUAAUGUGGAACUCACUCCGAGUGCACUCAGGCUGUGAGGAGCCGGGGCAGCAGAUGAACAUCACUGGGUGUCAUCACAUGCAAACUACAGGCCCCGAAUUAUGGGAGCUGUGAUUGUUAUGCUCUGGAUGAUCACCGAUCUUCAGGGUUGUUUUCACACCAGUAAAGUCCUUUGGUUCGGACUGUUUUACUCA